GACGAAGAACGCAGCGAAAUGCGAUACGUAAUGUGAAUUGCAGAAUUCAGUGAAUCAUCGAGUCUUUGAACGCACAUUGCGCCCCCUGGUAUUCCGGGGGGCAUGCCUGUCCGAGCGUCAUUGCUGCCCUCAAGCACGGCUUGUGUGUUGGGCCUCCGUCCUCCUCCCGGGGGACGGGCCCGAAAGGCAGCGGCGGCACCGCGUCCGGUCCUCGAGCGUAUGGGGCUUCGUCACCCGCUCUUGUAGGCCCGGCCGGCGCUUGCCGACACAUCAAUCUUUUUUCCAGGUUGACCUCGGAUCAGGUAGGGAUACCCGCUGAACUUAAGCAUAUCAAUAAGCGGAGGA
rnacentral:misc_RNA from 1 species